GACGAACGCUGGCGGCGUGCUUAACACAUGCAAGUCGAACGGAAAGGCCCUGCUUUUGUGGGGUGCUCGAGUGGCGAACGGGUGAGUAACACGUGAGUAACCUGCCCUUGACUUUGGGAUAACUUCAGGAAACUGGGGCUAAUACCGGAUAGGAGCUCCUGCUGCAUGGUGGGGGUUGGAAAGUUUCGGCGGUUGGGGAUGGACUCGCGGCUUAUCAGCUUGUUGGUGGGGUAGUGGCUUACCAAGGCUUUGACGGGUAGCCGGCCUGAGAGGGUGACCGGCCACAUUGGGACUGAGAUACGGCCCAGACUCCUACGGGAGGCAGCAGUGGGGAAUAUUGCACAAUGGGCGGAAGCCUGAUGCAGCAACGCCGCGUGCGGGAUGACGGCCUUCGGGUUGUAAACCGCUUUCGCCUGUGACGAAGCGUGAGUGACGGUAAUGGGUAAAGAAGCACCGGCUAACUACGUGCCAGCAGCCGCGGUGAUACGUAGGGUGCGAGCGUUGUCCGGAUUUAUUGGGCGUAAAGGGCUCGUAGGUGGUUGAUCGCGUCGGAAGUGUAAUCUUGGGGCUUAACCCUGAGCGUGCUUUCGAUACGGGUUGACUUGAGGAAGGUAGGGGAGAAUGGAAUUCCUGGUGGAGCGGUGGAAUGCGCAGAUAUCAGGAGGAACACCAGUGGCGAAGGCGGUUCUCUGGGCCUUUCCUGACGCUGAGGAGCGAACGCGUGGGGAGCGAACAGGCUUAGAUACCCUGGUAGUCCACGCUGUAAACGGUGGGUACUAGGUGUGGGGUCCAUUCCACGGGUUCCGUGCCGUAGCUAACGCUUUAAGUACCCCGCCUGGGGAGUACGGCCGCAAGGCUAAAACUCAAAGGAAUUGACGGGGCCCCGCACAAGCGGCGGAGCAUGCGGAUUAAUUCGAUGCAACGCGUAGAACCUUACCUGGGUUUGACAUGGAUCGGGAGUGCUCAGAGAUGGGUGUGCCUCUUUUGGGGUCGGUUCACAGGUGGUGCAUGGCUGUCGUCAGCUCGUGUCGUGAGAUGUUGGGUUAAGUCCCGCAACGAGCGCAACCCUUGUUCACUGUUGCCAGCACGUUAUGGUGGGGACUCAGUGGAGACCGCCGGGGUCAACUCGGAGGAAGGUGGGGAUGACGUCAAGUCAUCAUGCCCCUUAUGUCCAGGGCUUCACGCAUGCUACAAUGGCUGGUACAGAGAGUGGCGAGCCUGUGAGGGUGAGCGAAUCUCGGAAAGCCGGUCUCAGUUCGGAUUGGGGUCUGCAACUCGACCUCAUGAAGUCGGAGUCGCUAGUAAUCGCAGAUCAGCAACGCUGCGGUGAAUACGUUCCCGGGGCU
rnacentral:rRNA from 1 species